GUCAAUUGUGCAUUAAAUAUGGCCUAGUAUUUUAUAAAAAUGAUUUGGUCCAAUUUUGCAACAAUUAUUUGGUAGUUCCUUCACAAAAAACCUCCUUUUGGGCACUCGAAAAAUGGAAAAUGGUUUUUUCGUCCAACGAAAAUGAAAACUUCCUGAGGCAACAUUGUUUGCCAUUCCAAUAUGCACCCUUGUGCACAAUAUGAGAUCAUUUGAACAAACUAUGACAUGAAUGUGGCCAUAAGAUUAAUCAUUUGGCUUGAAAGCCAUUGAUCUCCACACAUGAUAGCUCGUUUCUGAGAACACUUUUUAACAUAAUUGGCGUAUUACAAGUUUGUUAUUUUUCCUAGGAACUUGGCCACAUAUGAUGACACAAUGCGAAGGUUUCCCAAUUUUUUGAUUUUUUUUGAAUUUUUUAUGCCCGUUUCAAAAUGCGGUCAAAACGGCGGGAAUGACCGUUCCUAGCUAGUGGUUGAAUCUUGGAAAUUUUUUCGUGUUUCUCUCAUUAAAUAAAUACUUAUGUACCUAGAAAUGAUUUUUGGAAAAAAUAAAUAGCAAACUAUGAGGCAACUGCAGUUCAAAUUUGACCCGCUUCCAACUGAAUCGGCGGAAAUUUGUCUUUUUCACGAGAGGUGGAUCAAAAAAGUUUACACCCAACCAUUUUGUCAAUUGUGCAUUAAAUAUGGCCUAGUAUUUUAUAAAAAUGAUUUGGUCCAAUUUUGCAACAAUUAUUUGGUAGUUCCUUCACAAAAAAAACCUCCUUUCGGGCACUCGAAAAAUGGAAAAUGGUUUUUUCGUCCAACGAAAAUGAAAACUUCCUUAGGCAACAUUGUUUGCCAUUCCAAUAUGCACCCUUGUGCACAAUAUGAGAUCAUUUGAACAAACUAUGCCAUGAAUGUGGCCAUAAGAUUGAUCAUUUGGCUUGAAAGCCAUUGAUCUCCACACAUGAUAGCUCAUUUCUGAGAACACUUUUUUAACAUAAUUGUCGUAUUACAAGUUUGUUAUUUUUCCUAGGAACUUGGCCACAUAUGAUGACACAAUGCGAAGGUUUCCCAAUUUUUUGAUUUUUUUUGAAUUUUUUAUGCCCGUUUCAAAAUGCGAUCAAAAUGGCGGGAAUGACCGUUCCUAGCUAGUGGUUGAAUCUUGGAAUUUUUUUCGUGUUUCUCUGAUUAAAUAAAUACUUAUGUACCUACAAAUGAUUUUUGGAAAAAAUAAAUAGCAAACUAUGAGGCAACUGCAGUUCAAAUUUGACCCGCUUCCAACUGAAUCGGCGGAAAUUUGUCUUUUUCACGAGAGGUGGAUCAAAAAAUUUUACACCCAACCAUUUUGUCAAUUGUGCAUUAAAUAUGUCCUAGUAUUUUAUAAAAAUGAUUUGGUCCAAUUUUGCAACAAUUAUUUGGUAGUUCCUUCACAAAAAAACCUCCUUUCGUGCACUCGAAAAAUGGAAAAUGGUUUUUUCGUCCAACGAAAAUGAAAACUUCCUUAGGCAACAUUGUUUGCCAUUCCAAUAUGCACCCUUGUGCACAAUAUGAGAUCAUUUGAACAAACUAUGCCAUGAAUGUGGCAUAAGAUUGAUCAUUUGGCUUGAAAGCCAUUGAUCUCCACACAUGAUAGCUCGUUUCUGAGAACACUUUUUUAAAAUAAUUGC
rnacentral:lncRNA from 1 species